rnacentral:rRNA from 1 species
CUUCAGGCCUAACACAUGCAAGUCGAACGGGACUCAGCCCUUCGGGACUGAGUUUAGUGGCGAACGGGUGAGUAACGCGUGAGGAACCUGCCUUUCAGUGGGGGACAACAGUUGGAAACGACUGCUAAUACCGCAUGACACUUUUGGGGGACAUCCCUUAGAAGUCAAAGCUUUAUGUGCUGAAAGAUGGCCUCGCGUCUGAUUAGCUAGUUGGCGGGGUAACGGCCCACCAAGGCGACGAUCAGUAGCCAGUCUGAGAGGAUGAACGGCCACAUUGGGACUGAGAUACGGCCCAGACUCCUACGGGAGGCAGCAGUAGGGAAUUUUCGGCAAUGGGGGGAACCCUGACCGAGCAACGCCGCGUGAAGGAAGAAGUUAUAAAGGAAGAAAGAGGCAGUCAGGAAAUGGACUGCAGGUGACGGUACUUUAUGAGAAAGCCACGGCUAACUACGUGCCAGCAGCCGCGGUAAUACGUAGGUGGCAAGCGUUAUCCGGAAUUAUUGGGCGUAAAGGGCUCGUAGGCGGUUCGUCGCGUCCGGUGUGAAAGUCCAUCGCUUAACGGUGGAUCCGGGAUGGAAACUGCCAAUCUAGAGUAUCGGAGAGGAAAGUGGAAUUCCUAGUGUAGCGGUGAAAUGCGUAGAUAUUAGGAAGAACACCAAUGGCGAAGGCAGGUCUCUGGGCCGUUACUGACGCUGAGGAGCGAAAGCGUGGGGAGCGAACAGGAUUAGAUACCCUGGUAGUCCACGCCGUAAACGAUGAAUACUAGGUGUAGGGGUUGUCAUGACCUCUGUGCCGCCGCUAACGCAUUAAGCAUUCCGCCUGGGGAGUACGACCGCAAGGUUGAAACUCAAAGGAAUUGACGGGGGCCCGCACAAGCGGCGGAGCAUGUGGUUUAAUUCGAAGCAACGCGAAGAACCUUACCUAGACUUGACAUCUCCUGCAUUACCCUUAAUCGGGGAAGUUCCUUCGGGGACAGGAAGACAGGUGGUGCAUGGUUGUCGUCAGCUCGUGUCGUGAGAUGUUGGGUUAAGUCCCGCAACGAGCGCAACCCUUAUUGUUAGUUGCCAUCAUUAAGUUGGGCACUCUAGCGAGACUGCCCGGGUUAGCCGGGAGGAAGGUGGGGAUGACGUCAAAUCAUCAUGCCCCUUAUGUCUAGGGCUACACACGUGCUACAAUGGUCGGUACAAUAAGAUGCAAGCCCGCGAGGGGGAGCAAAACUGGAAAACCGAUCUCAGUUCGGAUUGUAGGCUGAAACUCGCCUACAUGAAGCUGGAGUUGCUAGUAAUCGCGAAUCAGCAUGUCGCGGUGAAUACGUUCCCGGGCCUUGUACACUCCGCCCAAGGGC